GAACUGCUGGAGUCUGGAGCGCCGGGACACGAGGCAUGAAAGUGUUUGAUUCAAAGCGCUGCGGGAACUAGUUAACCCUGGCCAAGUGUGAAGAUCCACAGAAAAAAAGGAGUUUGGAACGACAUGAGGGGUAAAAACAUCAGACCUGUGUCAUCGUGGGCUGUAAUGAGGACAUCCGUUUGCAUGAGUGCAUAAUCUCCUGAAGAGGAGCAUCAUGGGAACCGUGACACUCAGGUCUCUCUCGGCUCACUGAGAGUCCUCCGCAAGAGCUGUCAAUCACGGACAGAUCCUCAGACUCGCUCCCUCCUGGAUCGUAAUGAGAGUUUCUGUAUAUGUGAAUUAUGGCACAUAAAACAGUAAAUAUAUUGUUGUUUGUUCACUAAACAACUAUGAUACUACAAUAGAGUAUUUGUUGACAGAUCCU